GUCAUGGAGCAAUAUGCAAUGGUUGCCUGUAGGCAUUAGGCCCCAUCAGAGCCUUGCUACCUCUGCCUAAGCAUGGGCUGAGCUAGAGGAGUGAAAUGUGUGUGAUCCUGGCUCGAAAGAGGCACAGCAAAUUUCUCCCCUCUUGACCAAAUAGAAAGGGAAUGCAGAAUCUCCACACCUACCAUCAACAACAAUAACUACACAUAUAAAAUGAUGCUAAAUUAGCUGUUACCACUCAAGAAAGAAAUCUUGAAGUCAUCCUGGAUAGUUCUCUGAAAAUAUCCACUCAAUGUGCAGCAUCAGUCAAAAAAGCUAAGAGAAUAUUGGGAAUCAUUAAGAAAAGGAUAGAUAAGACAGAAUGUAUUGCCUCUAUAAAAAUCCCUGGUACACCCACAUCUUGAAUACUAUGUGCAGAUGCGGUUGCCCCAUCUCAAAAAAAAAUAUAUUGGACUUGGAAAAGGUACAGGAAAGGGCAUCAAAAAUUAUUAGGGGCAUGGAACAGCUUCCAUAUGAGGAAAGACUAAGAAGACUGGGACUUUUCAACUUGGAAAAGAGAUGACUAAGGGGGGGGGGGGAAUAUGAUAGACAUCUGUGAAAUCAUGACUGAUGUGGAGAAAGUAAGGAAGUGUUAUUUACUCCUUCUCAUAAACACAAGUACAGGGGUCACCAAAUGAAAUUAAUAGGUAGCAGCUUUAAAACAAACAAAAAGGAAAUUUUCUUCAUACAACUCUCAGUCAACCUGUGGAAAUCUUUGCCAGAGGAUGUUGAGAGGGCCAAGACUAUAAUAGGAUUCAAAAAAGAACUAGAUAAAUUCAUGGAGGAAGGUCCAUCAAUGGGUAUUGGCCAGGAUAGGCAGGGAUGGUGUCCCUAGCCUCUAUUUUGCCAGAAGCUGGGAAUGGGCAACAGGAGAUGGAUCACAUGAUGAUUACCUGCUCUGUUCAUUCCCUCUGAAGCCCCUGGCAUUGGCCAUUGUCAGAAGACAGGAUACUGGGCUAGGUGGACCUUUGGUCUGACCCAGUAUGACCGUUCUUAUGUUAUCUCCUUCCAACUGAGAAACCCCUCCAGAGCCCUCUUCUAAGGGCUAAGUGUUCCGUCUCCAACUACAGAUGACAUAAAGCAGAGUCAUCAGAGCUGGAAAGCAUGUCUUCAUUUACAAAUUGGAGAGAGGCAUAAAAAAGAAGUGUUUGUGCAAUGUGCUGAGGUACUUUUGCCAUGCUUGUUUUAUAAUGUUUCAUCACUCUGUCCUACUGGCAGAAUGGAUAAAAAAACAAAAUGGGAUUUUUAUUUAAAAUAAGAUUUUUUUAUUUGAAUAAGUUUUUUCCUCAAAAAAAUGCAUCUAAAGAUAGUUUUAAUUAAGAUACAUUAUAGUUCAAAGAUAUCAUCAUGGAAUAGGGAUUAUAAAGUCUAAUUCUAUAGUAUGAGACAAUAUAUUCUUGUAAUAUUUAAGAAAAGUUUUGUAAAUGAGUUCCAAUAGUUCAUGGGUUAGGGACCCAAUCUUACGGAGUUCCAGGGGCUUCUGUAUAGAUUAUUUAUGUUAAUCUUUCUAUCUACCCAGUGGGACUCAGUGCUUAAUCUAGAAGAUACUAUCAGAGAUGCUUAGUUUUGCAGUUCUCAAACUGUGCAUUUGCGUCUCCAGAGAUAAUGCUUGUUAACAGCAAAAAUGUUUUUAAAUAUAUAGAGGUGAGAAAUAAGACCUCAACCCUGUUGUCCCUCUGCAAAUUUGUGCACACAGAGUCAGUCCCUUACCUCUCUCUAAAAGUGCAAAGUUUCAAAAAGUUCAAUGAAUAGAAGAUUGUUGGGGGCGGAAUAGAUCUGGACAAGGAGAAGAUGUCUCGAGAUAAAUGUGAGAAGGGAGGAACAAGCAGUAGAAACAAAAGUGAAACUGUUUGAGCAGCAUAUUUCAGAAGUCUUGAGGUCUUUCUGGUUGUAGCCUUCAUUGAUUUGAGAUCUACCACACCAUUCUCUCACUAGAAAGGAAAACCUAUAAUGGCAGCAGGCCGUGAAAGAGACCCAGUUUGGGAAUAUUUUAAUGAAGUUCCUCUACCUGUGAGUAAGACAGGCAUGCGUGCAAAAUGCAAACAGUGCAACAAAAAUGCAGGGCCUGCUUGCCCGAAUGAAACAUCAUGAGAAGUGUUCCUUCUCAGGAGGAAGCUGCGUUGAAGAUUAAAGGAACAUGUCUGAACAUGCAGGAUCUUCAGGAGAAUCCAUCCUCAACUUACAGGAUACUGAAGACUAUCCACCUUCAAGAUCACCGUCAUUUUCUAUAGUUUCAGAGUUAUCUGCCAAUGAUAGUGUUUCAAGUCACAUCAUAUGUCACAAUAUAUCACCUGUAGCAAAACGAAAAAUAUCUCCAUCAUCCAGAAACAACCAUAGAUAAGUUUGUGACAAGAACCAGCAGAAUAUAAAAAAAAAAAAAAAAAAAAAAAAAAAAAAAAAGAGGUAAUUGAUGAAAAAUUGCCUGGUUUGUUUAUGCAACAAACUCUCCUUUCCAUAUAAUUGAGAACCCACGCUUCAUUAACAUGGUCUAGGUAUUAAGACCAGGAUACGGUCCACCCAACAAAGCAGAUGUUGAAGGCAAAUUGCUGGAUAAAGUGUGUGACAGAGAAAUUGAGCAGUGUGCAAAAGGUCUAGAGUGUAAAAUUGUUAACCUGAGUCUUGAUGCGUGGAGUAAUGUCCAGAACGAGCCUGUUGUAUGUGCUUGUGUGACAACAGAAAAACUGAAUGUCGUCCUUACAGAAACAAUUGAUACAUCAGGAGAUGCACACACCACAGAAUACUUACAAGAAGUAGCAGUAAAAGCUGUAACAAACGGUGAAAAAAAAAUUUCAAAUGUCUAUUAUGCAACUUGGUCACAGACAAUGCUGCAAAUGUAUUCAAGAUGAGAAGAAAUUUAGAAGAGCAUGAAGAGAGUCCCAAGCUGAUAACAUACGGUUGCAGUGCUUAUUUGGUGCACCUCCUAGCCAAAGAUUUCAGUGUUCCAGAAAUAAAGGCUAAUGUUGCUGAAAUUCAAAAUUCCUUCAGUAAGAACCAUUUUGCAUCAGCUGCUCUGAAAAAAGUGGGAGGAACAAGCCAACUGUCCCACAAGGCAUGCGAUGGAACUCAGUAGCGGACUGUUUUGCGCACUAUAUCAAGAACUGGCCUAAUCUGAUGACAGUUUGUGAACAGAAUCGUGAAAAAAUAGAUGGCACUGUCACAGCCAAAGUUCUCAACAUUGGUCUUAAGAGAAUCGUUGAAACACAGGCUGAGUACCCUGAAGCCUAUUUCUGUAGCCUUGAACAAAAUGCAGAGAAAUAGCUAUUUUAUUGCUGACACUGUUGAAAUUUGGAAGGAUCUGAAUGAGAUUAAAAAGAGAAAUAUGCAAUGACAGUUAAAUUACAAGCAUUUAAAAAAAAACACGAAUGGGACAAGCACUAUCGCCAGCUCGUUUUCUUGCAAAUAUUCGGUACCAGAGUCAAAUCUUAACUGCUGAAGAAGAGAAGUUCGCUAUGACAUGGACAUCCAGCAAUCAUCCCUCCUUAAUGCCAAUUAUAAUAAGCUUCAGAGCUAAGGGAGAACCAUUCAAGAAAUAUAUGUUUGAUGAUGAUGUUUUAAAGAAAGUCACAGCAGUGAACUGGUGGAAGUCACUCAAACACCUGGAUUCAGAGAUUGUUGAAGUGAUAAUCUCACUUUUAACAGCAGUAGCGUCUUCUGCUGGUGUAGAAGGAAUAUUUUCUUCCCUUUGGACUAAUUCAUUCCAAUUUGGGACCUGAAAAAGCGGGGAAGUUUGCUUUUCUAUUCCAGAUUUUGAACAAACAGGAAAAUGAAGGAGAAGAUGACUGAGUUAGCUGCAGAAGCCAAUAUUUAAAUUUCUCAUGUUGAGCUGGCUGACAAAGUCAAUGUAAUUUUCGGGUUUUUUUUAAAUAUUUCAUUUAACAAAAUGAAACCUGAUUUUUAAAAAACUUGACUGUUUUGUUAAAAUAUUAUGUUUGCUGUUGAAGAAAAAAAUCCAGAAUACAUAACGUUGUUUUAGUUAGA